rnacentral:rRNA from 1 species
AACGAACGCUGGCGGCAGGCCUAACACAUGCAAGUCGAGCGAGACCUUCGGGUCUAGCGGCGGACGGGUGAGUAACGCGUGGGAACGUGCCCUUUUCUGCGGAAUAGCCUCGGGAAACUGAGCGUAAUACCGCAUACGCCCUUUGGGGGAAAGAUUUAUCGGAAAAGGAUCGGCCCGCGUUGGAUUAGGUAGUUGGUGGGGUAAUGGCCUACCAAGCCUACGAUCCAUAGCUGGUUUGAGAGGAUGAUCAGCCACACUGGGACUGAGACACGGCCCAGACUCCUACGGGAGGCAGCAGUGGGGAAUCUUAGACAAUGGGGGCAACCCUGAUCUAGCCAUGCCGCGUGAGUGAUGAAGGCCUUAGGGUUGUAAAGCUCUUUCAGUUGGGAAGAUAAUGACGGUACCAGCAGAAGAAGCCCCGGCUAACUCCGUG